rnacentral:rRNA from 1 species
UGGCGGACGGGUGAGUAUCGCGUGGGAACAUGCCCUUCUGUACGGAACAACCAUUGGAAACGAUGGCUAAUACCGUAUACGCCCUUUGGGGGAAAGAUUUAUCGCAGAAGGAUUGGCCCGCGUUAGAUUAGCUAGUUGGUGAGGUAAGAGCUCACCAAGGCUACGAUCUAUAGCUGGUUUGAGAGGAUGAUCAGCCACACUGGGACUGAGACACGGCCCAGACUCCUACGGGAGGCAGCAGUGGGGAAUAUUGGACAAUGGGGGCAACCCUGAUCCAGCGAUGCCGCGUGAGUGAUGAAGGCCUUAGGGUUGUAAAACUCUUUCAGAUGGGAUGAUAAUGACAGUACCAUCAGAAGAAGCUCCGGCUAACUCCGUGCCAGCAGCCGCGGUAAU